AAACGGAUGCAAAUGCAACUCAGCUUGUUUUCUCUAAGUCGGUUUAAAAAAAAAAAGUGAUGCAGAAACGUGUGCAGUGUCCAUGGCGAUGGAAUAGCAACAAAUCUUUUUCUAGUUUGGGAUGAUGAUAAGACGUACAUAUUUGAUAAACUUUGAUGCCUAAAACGAGGUGACCAAGUUUGAAUUUGAUGUGAAUUUUUUCACAUCCACACAAGGUUAAAAUGAUUAUUGUCAAAAAGUGUAGGAGCUUCUUAAAGAGACAGGGGGCAAUUUCAAAGAGUCAAACUGUGAAGUCAAAUUUCUUUCAUGUUGGAUAUGAAAAAAAUUUCAUAUCCAACAUGAAAUUAGAUAUGGCAUUUUUUAACACCUGCUUCUUUAAUAGCUACUUGAUUGUGUGUAAAAUGGGUUUAUGUGCCUGAAAUAUACAUAAUAUCGCUCCUUUAGGAACAAACAAACAUUC